rnacentral:rRNA from 1 species
UACGGGGGGUGCGAGCGUUGUCCGGAAUCACUGGGCGUAAAGGGCGCGUAGGUGGCGUGAUAAGGGUGUGGUGAAAGCCCGGGGCUCAACCCCGGGUCUGCCAUGCCGACUGUCAGGCUCGAGUGCUGUAGGGGCAGGCGGAAUUCCGGGUGUAGCGGUGAGAUGCGUAGAUAUCCGGAGGAACACCGGUGGCGAAGGCGGCAUCCUGGACCGACAUUGACGCUGAGGAGCGAAAGCUAGGGGAGCAAACGGG